GCGAAGAACUGGGAUAGAGCUCGCCUCGGCUCCGCUGGCCUUGGCUGCAGCUCUCCCAGAGAACGGGGCACCCACACGAGAAUCCCAUACCUGGCUCUCUCUUCAGGGAUGACAUCAUCGGCUCACCCCAGUCUUCAAGGACCGCCUUCUUUGGAUGCCAAGCUGUCACUCAAGUACCUGUGGCGAUACCUGAUGAACAUCUCUAUCUCCUGAGGCAAGGACCAUGGAUUCCUGGAACCCACCAGCAUAACAGAGCAGCCCCCUGUGGACCCCCAGGACCAGGACAUCGAGGGACAAGGGACAAAGAGGAUCAGCAGUGGUCAUCUAGCCUCCCUCUGGGUUCAAGCCUUGAACCAACGCCCUAGUGAGGGGGCAUUGGUCAUGACCUCUGACCUCUAUUCUGCUUGUGCCUUGAAUCUGAGCCCUUCCCUGUGUGUCUCUGCUUGUGUUCAUCUGCCAGUGAACUGGAGUGCUUCCCUCCCCAAGGGGGGUCGUCCCUUGUGACUGACCAUGUUGUCCUAACAAAAGUCCUGAGCAGAAGG